rnacentral:rRNA from 1 species
GAUGAACGCUGGCGGCGUGCUUAACACAUGCAAGUCGAACGGGAAUUACUUUAUUGAAACUUCGGUGGAUUUAAUUUAAUUCUAGUGGCGGACGGGUGAGUAACGCGUGGGUAACCUGCCUUAUACAGGGGGAUAACAGUCAGAAAUGGCUGCUAAUACCGCAUAAGCGCACAGAGCUGCAUGGCUCAGUGUGAAAAACUCCGGUGGUAUAAGAUGGACCCGCGUUGGAUUAGCUAGUUGGUGGGGUAACGGCCCACCAAGGCGACGAUCCAUAGCCGGCCUGAGAGGGUGAACGGCCACAUUGGGACUGAGACACGGCCCAGACUCCUACGGGAGGCAGCAGUGGGGAAUAUUGCACAAUGGGGGAAACCCUGAUGCAGCGACGCCGCGUGAAGGAAGAAGUAUCUCGGUAUGUAAACUUCUAUCAGC